AAUGAACGUUGGCGGCGUGGAUUAGGCAUGCAAGUCGAGCGAGAAACCAAUUAGCUUGCUAUGAGGUGGACAGCGGCGAAAGGGAGAGUAACGCGUGGUUACGUGCCCUCGGGACCGGGAUAGCGUUGGGAAACUGGCGGUAAUACCGGAUAACAUCUAUGGAUCAAAUGGUGAGAUUCCGCCCGAGGAUCGGACCGCGUACUAUUAGCUUGUUGGCGGGGUAACGGCCCCAAGGCUGCGAUGGUUACCGGGUGUGAGAGCAUGGCCCGGCUCACUGGGACUGAGACACUGCCCAGACAUCUACGGAUGGCUGCAGUCGAGAAUCUUCGGCAAUGGACGCAAGUCUGACCGAGCGACGCCGCGUGCGGGAUGAAGGCCCUCGGGUUGUAACGCGUCAGUUAGGAAUCCAUGAGGG
rnacentral:rRNA from 1 species